AUGACCAUUAUAACUCCUAGAAGGAUGUUUCUCCUCUUCUUUCUGAUGCAUCAAACUGUUAUGGCACGUCUCCAGUAGGAUAGUCAGAUUGUCGUGCCUGAGUGUCGAAUGAUAGGAAGCCAAUGGGAAAGGACCGCUCAUCGAAGAGAGGGCACAGUCGAGAGGCCCAAGAACGAGAGCGAGGGCUUACGAUGCGUUGAAUGGAGGCAGGAUCAAAUUGGAUCGAAUGAAAAGGUCAGCUGGUGGCAUCCGAUGCUAGUAGAGAAACCUGCAAGAAAAGCCUACACCGGAGAUGUCUUCGGUGAGGACCCUUCAACCCUCAAGUCAGUUUUUAGCUCAACA
rnacentral:lncRNA from 1 species